ACACGCCAGGAAAGAAAAAACGCGUGUUCUAAGUCUAAUGUUAUAAGGGUAUCCAGGUUAUCUGCUUCUAGUUGAUACAGAGGUGUCGCUGUCGCUGGCUGAUUUCACUGGAAAGCACACACAACCGUCAGAGCGCUCCUAAUGGUGUAACGGACGAGCUUAUUGCGUGGUGGGCUUGUCUGCAUGUUAGAUGCCAAUUUCCUAACUUUCGUGUGAAAUAAUAGGCCACAGAAGCCUGGGCAUGAAAAAAUCAUGCAAUGGGAAAACCUCUUCUUUUCCGCCGUUGAACGCGUUUAUGACCAUACUAGGUUUCCGUAUUUUUAGGGGAACGCUUUUCAUUUCUUUCUGGAGUUCAGCAACAGCAUUAAAUUGCCGUCUUAAUUCUAUUAUUAUGUGGAAAUACAUAUGAUAUUAACUUACUUGUUUAUUUUUCUUGCCACUUAUCGGAUAUCACAUCAUAUUUCAGACGCAAGUUGGAAUUUACCAUACACUCCCAAAGGUUUGGGGCCGUGAAGUGAUCAAGACAAACAUAGGAUUUUUGAAAAAGCUCGUAACCAUCAUUAAAACCGUUUUAUCCUUUUUACUACUGCUUCCGAACUCUCGCAUCCAAGUGUUAGUAACCAUGUUUAAAAGCUGAAACGCACCUAUUGGCUGUUGCCGUAAAGUCACGAGCCUUUCUUGUUAUUCCUAUCCCGAAAUUGAAGUCCCCAUCCAUUUACAUUUCGUUUAUGAAAAAUGGGUGCACUGCUGGCCAAUUUCGAACAGCGAAUGGUCUUCUGCAAUAUAAGACCUUUAGCACCGGUGAACUGUUAGGCGAUGUGACGAUGGCACCAGGGGGUACUUUUGUUUUAGGGUGAGGCGUUGUAUUUAGUGGUUGAGUAGGGAACUCUGUGGGAGGCCAUUAUUUUUUUUUGCUUUACAUUUUUUUAUUACUAUUAUUAUCCACGAGGUGACACUAUUGACCCUAGAUGUGUUGUUUUGGCCACACCUCUGGCCGUCAUGGACGACCGUAUAAGAUUACAGACCCUAAUCAUUCAGUAGGCCUUCAUAGUGUUAGUAAACAUGGGGGGGGGGGGGAGGGGACGCAAAGGAAUAGAGUAACGAGUAGUUGGGUACAA